rnacentral:tRNA from 1 species
GGACCUGUAGUGUAUGGGAGUAGCACGGUACCCUGUCAAGGUGCAAGGGCGGGUUCGAAUCCCGUCAGGUCCGC